rnacentral:rRNA from 1 species
CCGCAUGACAUAUCGGAACCACAUGGUUCUGAUAUCAAAGAUUUUAUCGCUUGAAGAUGGACUCGCGUCCGAUUAGUUAGUUGGUGAGGUAACGGCUCACCAAGACCGCGAUCGGUAGCCGGACUGAGAGGUUGAACGGCCACAUUGGGACUGAGACACGGCCCAGACUCCUACGGGAGGCAGCAGUGGGGGAUAUUGCGCAAUGGGGGCAACCCUGACGCAGCAACGCCGCGUGAAGGAUGAAGGUUUUCGGAUUGUAAACUUCUUUUAUUAAGGACGAAAAAUGACGGUACUUAAUGAAUAAGCUCCGGCUAACUACGUGCCAGCAGCCGCGGUAAUACGUAGGGAGCAAGCGUUGUCCGGAUUUACUGGGUGUAAAGGGUGCGUAGGCGGCUUUGCAAGUCAGAUGUGAAAUCUAUGGGCUCAACCCAUAAACUGCAUUUGAAACUGUAGAGCUUGAGUGAAGUAGAGGCAGGCGGAAUUCCCCGUGUAGCGGUGAAAUGCGUAGAGAUGGGGAGGAACACCAGUGGCGAAGGCGGCCUGCUGGGCUUUAACUGACGCUGAGGCACGAAAGCGUGGGUAGCAAACAGGAUUAGAUACCCUGGUAGUCCACGCUGU